rnacentral:rRNA from 1 species
GACGAACGCUGGCGGCGUGCUUAACACAUGCAAGUCGAACGAAGUGGCGAACGGGUGAGUAACGCGUAAGCAACCUGCCCUUCAGAGGGGGACAACAGUUGGAAACGACUGAUAAUACCGCAUACUGAAGGAGGGGAUUGGGUCUGAAUAGCUAGUUGGAGGGGUACAGGCCCCCCAAGGCGAUGAUCAGUCGCCGGCCUGAGAGUAUGAACGGCCACAUUGGGACUGAGACAGUGCCCAGACUCCUACGGUAGGCAGCAGUGGGGAAUCUUCCGCAAUGGACGAAAGUCUGACGGAGCAACGCCGCGUGCGUGAUGACGGCCUUCGGGUUGUAAAGCUCUGUUAAUCGGGACGCGGUACCGGAAUAGUAAGCCACGGCUAACUACGUGCCAGCAGCCGCGGUAAUAC